rnacentral:rRNA from 1 species
UGGGGAAUUUUGGACAAUGGGCGAAAGCCUGAUCCAGCAAUGCCGCGUGUGUGAAGAAGGCCUUCGGGUUGUAAAGCACUUUUGUCCGGAAAGAAAUCCUUGGCUCUAAUACAGUCGGGGGAUGACGGUACCGGAAGAAUAAGCACCGGCUAACUACGUGCCAGCAGCCGCGGUAAUACGUAGGGUGCAAGCGUUAAUCGGAAUUACUGGGCGUAAAGCGUGCGCAGGCGGUUUGCUAAGACCGAUGUGAAAUCCCCGGGCUCAACCUGGGAACUGCAUUGGUGACUGGCAGGCUAGAGUAUGGCAGAGGGGGGUUAGAAUUCCACGUGUAGCAGUGAAAUGCGUAGAGAUGUGGAGGAAUACCGAUGGCGAAGGCAGCCCCCUGGGCCAAUACUGACGCUCAUGCACGAAAGCGUGGGGAGCAAACAGGAUUAGAUACCCUGGUAGUCCACGCCCUAAACGAUGUCAACUAGUUGUUGGGGAUUCAUUUCCUAGUAACGUAGCUAACGCGUGAAGUUGACCGCCUGGGGAGUACGGUCGCAAGAUUAAAACUC